rnacentral:rRNA from 1 species
CCCUUAGAUGUUCUGGGCCGCACGCGCGCUACACUGAUUCAUGCAACAAGUUUUGUCCUUGGCUGAUAGGCCUGGAUAAUCUUUGAACGUGAAUCGUGAUGGGGAUAGAUGAUUGCAAUUAUUCAUCUUCAACGAGGAAUUCCUAGUAAACGCAAGUCAUCAGCUUGCAUUGAUUACGUCCCUGCCCUUUGUACACACCGCCCGUCGCACCUACCGAUUGAAUGGUCCGGUGAAAUCUUCGGAUCUGAGAGAUGUCUGAUUAAUUUCGGACGCCUUUUGGAAAAGUUGUUUAAACCUUACCAUUUAGAGGAAGGUGAAGUCGUAACA